UCCUAACACGAACCAAGGAGUCUAUCUAGUAUGCAAGUAAAUGAGUAUAUGAAACUUAUUUGCGUAAAAAACUUGACUGUUAUGGGAUUACGAGUCAUCUCGGUGGCUCCUCCAUCCCGGGGUAUUUUCAUCAACAUAUGCAGCAAUGUAUAUGGAAAAUAUACCAUGAGCAUACUGGAUAUGACCCGAAAGAUGGUGAACUAUGCUUGAUCAGGUUGAAGUCAGGGGAAACCCUGAUGGAGGACCGAAGCAAUUCUGACGUGCAAAUCGAUUGUCAGAGUUGAGCAUAGGGGCGAAAGACCAAUCGAACCAUCUAGUAGCUGGUUCCUUCCGAAGUUUCCCUCAGGAUAGCUGGAGCAUAGAAAUAUCUUUUUCUAACUCAUACCUGGUAAAGCGAAUGAUUAGAGGCCUUAGGAACGAAAUGUUCUUAACCUAUUCUCAAACUUUAAAUGGGUAUGUAAGCUAACAUACUUGAUUGAUGUUGGCCUGGUGGUGUUUAGUAAUAGACAUCUGUAAGAUUGUAUGCGCCCAGUGGGCCAAGUUUUGGUAAGCAGAACUGGUGCUGCGGGAUGAACCGAACGCAUUGUUAAGGCGCCCAAAUAAACGACGCAUCAUCGAUACCAUGAAAGGUGUUGAUUGCGAAGACAGCAGACAGUAAGUC
rnacentral:rRNA from 1 species